UUUUUUGGCCCUACCUCUGCCCCCUGCUGAUCUGAAAGUGACCUGGCCUGAAUGGAGAUGAAAGGCUCUGCCGUCCCCUGGGUGCUGGAGAGAGGCCUGUUGACAAAGCCACCAGCUGUCCCUAGCUGGAGCCAGGGAGACCGGCUCCUCCCUGCACCACUGGCGCUGGGAGAGCAUUCCGGCCACGGACCCAGGCAGCAACAGAAGUUGGACCAUCACAGAGCUCCAGGCCCAGGCUCCAGUGGACUUCCCCUCUGCUCCAGCUGCGCACAAUAACAAGAGCCAGGGCACAAGAGCUCACCCUGCACCAGUGCCAGGCAGGAGGAGCAUCACCUGGGGGUGAGGAGACCGAGGUGAGGGGAAGGUAAGGAAUCAGCCCAAGGUCACAGAGCUGGGAAGUGACAGCCGCCCAGGGUGACCCGGAGCAGGUGCUCUGAAAGCCGGCCCUGCAGCAUGGUGAAGUGCAGAGCCUACUGGCAGCCACCUCUAACCACUUACUCCACUCAGAACCAGCCCCGAGAACCAGACCUUGGGGUAAGUGCUCAGAGGGCCCGGGGCCUGCACAUUCAACCACGAGUGAGUCCUGUGAGCAUCAGCAGCAGGCAGGUCACAGACCGUGGAGGACAGAAACUGGAGGUUUCCAAGAAGGACACAGGGAGCUGCUCUGGGCCCCGCCCCACCUCCAAGCCCUAGUGCCCACUGGGCUACAACGGGUCUCUGAUUCCUGGCUGUGUGUCUGUGGUGAACUAGCUCACCCUCU